rnacentral:rRNA from 1 species
AUUGAACGCUGGCGGCGGGCCUAACACAUGCAAGUCGAGCGAGCGGCGGACGGGUGAGUAAUGUAUGGGGACUGCCCGAUAGAGGGGGAUAACUACUGGAAACGGUGGCUAAUACCGCCUACUGUCGGAUAACCCAUAUGGGAUUAGCUAGUAGGUAAGGUAAUGGCUUACCAAGGCGACGAUCCCUAGCUGGUCUGAGAGGAUGAUCAGCCACACUGGGACUGAGACACGGCCCAGACUCCUACGGAGGCAGCAGUGGGGAAUCUUGCACAAUGGGCGCAAGCCUGAUGCAGCCAUGCCGCGUGUAUGAAGAAGGCCCUCGGGUUGUAAAGUACUUUCAGUCGGGAGGCGUUACCGUAAGAAGAAGCAACGGCUAACUCCGUGCCAGCCGCCGCGGUAAUUC